ensembl:lncRNA
CAGGGAUUCCAGCCCCAGUUCUGCCAUCAAUCCGCUGAGUGACCUAAGCAAAGCCCUCUCUGCUGCUGCUGGUGCUGCUGAGUUGCUUCAGUCAUGUCUGACUCUGUGCGACCCCAUAGAUGGUAGCCCACCAGGCUCCCCUGUCCCUGGGAUUCUCCAGGCAAGAACACUGGAGUGGGUUGCCAUUUCCUUCUCCAAUGCAUGAAAGUGAAAAGUGAGAGUGAAGUCGCUCAGUCGUGUCUGACUCUUAGCGACCCCAUGGACUGCAGCCCACCAGGCUCCUCUGUCCAUGGGAUUUUCCCACUGGAGUGGGGUCCCAUUGCCUUGAAACAAAGGGUUGGAGCAGAGCUGAGAAUUUCCAUCUAUACUGUUUGGGGACACGUCCAUGCCCAGCAAGGACCCAGGAGGGCAAGGUCAAGAUGGUGCAGCUCUCUCUGUACCUUUUUACACAUUAGGAGUCCAUGGGCACUUUAACUGAGAAAAACCAACUCUUGCAAAUCAGAACUGCCAAUCAACCAACCUGGGCAUCUGCCUAGACCCUGCGUGGAGUAAGGAGGAGGCAGUCAGUUAAGUUUCUGAAUGAAUGAAGGAAAGAAAGGGCCUCAGAGAUGGGGAGGGCAAGCCCGAUGGAAGGGAAGGUCAAAAGGAGGAAGGAGAAAAACUGGCAAACAAGAAGGGGGAGUGUCUAGAACAAGAAAGGAGAUGAAAGAAGAGGGGUGGGUACAGGCUUCCAGGGCACCCACAGGCGGGCCCACACAUCAGCCUCAUGGAGGGCUGGCUAACCUGAAGGCCAGGAGGGGCUGCUUUCCCUGGCUCAUAGCUCCACCAUCUUCUGCUCUGAAUAUUUGAUGGCUCCACCCGAAGGAUAGUGCUUCCUGGGUUGGGAGCAUGAAGAGGUGGAAGCAAAGCCAGUAAUGAGCCCUCCCAGGUCCUCUCAUGCAGUAGCCGUGCCUGCAUCUGGGAACCAGCUGGGCCCUCCCUCCACAACACAGCCCCCUGCACCCAAGUGCUGCUUGUUCGUUCUGAUGGAAAUCCGCAGCAUAAGAGCCGAGGGUCUCACACAGCUAAUGGCCAGAGCUGGGGCACCGGGCUGGAUGGCCUGGCCUCCAUCCCACCCAUUUUCUUGUUAGACCCUCAGCCUGCUAUGGAGUUCACCCAGGUUACAAUGCUCAAUAGUUCCAAGCGCUGACAUCUGAUACCUCCAUCAUCUGGGAGACAGGUGGACUGAUUUUACAGAUGAGAAAAUGAGGUUUGGAGACAGAAGCUUGCCCAAGUCCACACGGUUACUUGGGGUAAAAGCAGCCCUCGAGCCUGUGAUUUCAAAACUGGUGCUCUUUUCAACAAUAACAACCACUUCAUAUCAGUCAUAUCAUGUCAGCCUGUUAUUCGUUUGCACCACAAGAUUAAAAAGGAACAAAAAGCCAGAACAAGGAACAAGCUGGAGGGCUUGAGAAACGAGUCUUCCCAGUGUCAAGUCCAAGGAAAGAAGGGACUGUAUAUUUGUCCCCAUUUCCUAGAUGUAGGGUGGGCCACCUACAUCCUCACUUUACAGAUGAGGAAACUGAGGCUCAAGAGGGUUAAAGAAUUUGCCCCAAGCUUCAUCACUGUAGCUGUGUCCAUAAGCCAUGCUCGUCUGACUCCCGACUCAUCUCCCCAGGCUUCACAGAGCACCACUGGGCCCCCACUACUAUGCUUUUGUUGGGAAGACACAGAGGGCUAGAUCUUGAGGUCCCUAACCUUGAGGAACCAGUGGCACUUAAGGAGGGGGUAGAAUAACGUCACUCCCUGUAGAGAAGUCUCCAUUUGAAGUCUCUGCUGUUUUCUAGAACAUGCAAGACCCAGGUCUGGCUGGCCCAGAACAGAGCCUGGGACAUGGAGGUGUUCUUAAACCCUUGAUCAAGGAAUGAGCGCAUGGAUGGAUAGAUAGAUGGAAGGACGAAUGGACAGACAAACAACUGCUUGAAGCAGGCAGGGCAGUGGGAGGUCAGAGAAUAGAGAGACAAGAAUAUAAACUCGGAAGCCCAGGGGAAAGUGUCAAAGAGAAAAGGUUCCUUGUAUGUGCUGUGAGG